rnacentral:rRNA from 1 species
ACGGCUGCUCAGUGCCGCGUAGUCAACUUACCCUAUGGACGAGGAUAAUCUCGGGAAACUAAGCAUAAUACUCGAUAGAUCAUAAUGCCUGGAAUGGUUUAUGGUUGAAAUGAUUCAUCGCCAUAGGAUGGGACUGCGGCCUAUCAGCUUGUUGGUGAGGUAAUGGCCCACCAAGGCGAUUACAGGUACGGGCUCUGAGAGGAGAAGCCCGGAGAUGGGUACUGAGACAAGGACCCAGGCCCUAUGGGGCGCGGCAGGCGAGAAAACUUUGCAAUGUGCGAAAGCACGACAAGGUUAAUCCGAGUGAUUUCUGCUAAAGAAAUCUUUUGCAAGUCAUAAAACCACUAGUGAAUAAGGGGUGGGCAAGUUCUGGUGUCAGCCGCCGCGGUAAAACCAGCACCUCAAGUGGUCAGGAGGAUUAUUGGGCCUAAAGCAUCCGUAGCCGGCUCUGUAAGUUUUUGGUUAAAUCCAUGUGCUCAACGCAUGGGCUGCCGAAAAUACUGCAUAGCUAGGGAGUGGGAGAGGUAGACGGUACUCGGUAGGAAGGGGUAAAAUCCUUUGAUCUAUCGAUGACCACCUGUGGCGAAGGCGGUCUACCAGAACACGUUCGACGGUGAGGGAUGAAAGCUGGGGGAGCAAACCGGAUUAGAUACCCGGGUAGUCCCAGCUGUAAACGAUGCAGACUCGAUGAUGCAUUGGCAUAUAGCCAGUGCAGUGUCGCAGGGAAGCCGUUAAGUCUGCCGCCUGGGAAGUACGUACGCAAGUAUGAAACUUAAAGGAAUUGGCGGGGGAGCAG